rnacentral:rRNA from 1 species
AUUGAACGCUGGCGGAAUGCUUUACACAUGCAAGUCGAGCGGCAGCGCGGGGGCAACCCUGGUGGCGAGCGGCGAACGGGUGAGUAACACAUCGGAACGUACCCAGUUGUGGGGGAUAGCCCGGCGAAAGCCGGAUUAAUACCGCAUACGACCUGAGGGUGAAAGGGGGGAGUCGCAAGACCUCUCGCAGUUGGAGCGGCUGAUGGCGGAUUAGCUAGUUGGUGGGGUAAAGGCUCACCAAGGCGACGAUCCGUAGCUGGUCUGAGAGGACGACCAGCCACACUGGAACUGAGACACGGUCCAGACUCCUACGGGUGGCAG